GACGAACGCUGGCAGCGUGCUUAACACAUGCAAGUCGAACGGGUCUGCCCUGUUUUUUGCGGGGUGGGUCAGUGGCGAACGGGUGAGUAACACGUGAGUAACCUGCCCCUCACUUCUGGAUAACCGCUUGAAAGGGUGGCUAAUACGGGGUGUUCUGGCUGUGCCGCAUGGUGUGGCUGGGAAAGAUUCACUUUUGUGGUGUUUUGGUGGGGGAUGGGCUCGCGGCCUAUCAGCUUGUUGGUGGGGUGAUGGCCUGCCAAGGCUUUGACGGGUAGCCGGCCUGAGAGGGUGGGCGGUCACACUGGGACUGAGAUACGGCCCAGACUCCUGCGGGAGGCAGCAGUGGGGGGUAUUGCACAAUGGGCGGAAGCCUGAUGCAGCGACGUCGCGUGAGGGAUGGAGGCCUUCGGGUUGUGAACCUCUUUCGCCGGUGAAGAAGGUCCUGCUCUUUGUGGUGGGGUUGACGGUAGCCGGGUUAUGAAGCGCCGGCUAACUACGUG
rnacentral:rRNA from 1 species